UACGUAGGGUGCGAGCGUUAAUCGGAAUUACUGGGCGUAAAGCGUGCGCAGGCGGUUUUGUAAGCCAGAUGUGAAAUCCCCGGGCUUAACCUGGGAAUGGCAAUGGAGACUGCAAGGCUAGAGUUUGGCAGAGGGGGGUAGAAUUCCACGUGUAGCAGUGAAAUGCGUAGAGAUGUGGAGGAAUACCGAUGGCGAAGGCAGCCCCCUGGGCCAAUACUGACGCUCAUGCACGAAAGCGUGGGGAGCAAACAGG
rnacentral:rRNA from 1 species